GAUAGAAAACGAAAAUUCACUCAUAGUGAACCUCGGCCUGCAUUUGUGAAACGGCAAAGACUCACUAUUAUCAAGGAAAUUGAAGAGACGACUAAAAAUGAGAUUUGUCGUAUUAUUAUACCUUUGGCAUCUUGUAGUCAAGAUGUCCAGCCACUUGAAAAUAGGUGUAGUAAUGACAAAGCUAUCCAAGUAGCUCCAGCACAGGAACACAAAGGCAAGGCGAGUGUGUAUUGCCACAUCACCCCUUAAUAUAUCUGAAGCAAGUAUAAGUAAACAAUCAGAACCAGCAAAAAAAAAACUGUUGUUCCUGAGGACAAAUUUGACAGUGAUGAGUCAAAUGCACCAGCAACAGAAGGAUCAACUGUUGACUAUGGGUUAUAGAAGAAGAAGAUUAAUUCAUAUUUAUUUAAAUUAAUAUUAAUGAAUAUUAAUUUAAAUUAUCGUGCAAAAUUCGUGGUCAAAACAUAUGUGUAUUUUAUAAAUAAAUAUUCAUUCUCAGUUCAAA